rnacentral:rRNA from 1 species
GACGAACGCUGGCGACGUGCCUAAUACAUGCAAGUAGAACGCUGAAGGAGGAGCUUGCUUCUCUGGAUGAGUUGCGAACGGGUGAGUAACGCGUAGGUAACCUGCCUGGUAGCGGGGGAUAACUAUUGGAAACGAUAGCUAAUACCGCAUAAUAGUAGAUGUUGCAUGACAUUUGCUUAAAAGGUGCAAUUGCAUCACUACCAGAUGGACCUGCGUUGUAUUAGCUAGUUGGUGGGGUAACGGCUCACCAAGGCGACGAUACAUAGCCGACCUGAGAGGGUGAUCGGCCACACUGGGACUGAGACACGGCCCAGACUCCUACGGGAGGCAGCAGUAGGGAAUCUUCGGCAAUGGACGGAAGUCUGACCGAGCAACGCCGCGUGAGUGAAGAAGGUUUUCGGAUCGUAAAGCUCUGUUGUAAGAGAAGAACGAGUGUGAGAGUGGAAAGUUCACACUGUGACGUAUCUACCAGA